AGUGAACGCUGGCGGUAGGCCUAACACAUGCAAGUCGAACGGCAGCACAGUAAGAGCUUGCUCUUACGGGUGGCGAGUGGCGGACGGGUGAGGAAUACAUCGGAAUCUACUUUUUCGUGGGGGAUAACGUAGGGAAACUACCGCUAAUACCCAAUACGCCCUACGGGUGAAAGCAGGGGAUCUUGGGACCUUGCGCGAUUAAAUGAGCCGAUGUCGGAUUAGCUAGUUGGCGGGGUAAAGGCCCACCAAGGCGACGAUCCGUAGCUGGUCUGAGAGGAUGAUCAGCCACACUGGAACUGAGACACGGUCCAGACUCCUACGGGAGGCAGCAGUGGGGAAUAUUGGACAAUGGGCGCAAGCCUGAUCCAGCCAUACCGCGUGGGUGAAGAAGGCCUUCGGGUUGUAAAGCCCUUUUGUUGGGAAAGAAAAGCAGCAGGUUAAUACCCCGCUGUUCUGACGGUACCCAAAGAAUAAGCACCGGCUAACUUCGUG
rnacentral:rRNA from 1 species